rnacentral:rRNA from 1 species
AUUGAACGCUGGCGGCAUGCCUUACACAUGCAAGUCGAACGGUAACAGGUUAAGCUGACGAGUGGCGAACGGGUGAGUAAUGUAUCGGAACGUGCCCAGUCGUGGGGGAUAACUGCUCGAAAGAGCAGCUAAUACCGCAUACGACCUGAGGGUGAAAGCGGGGGAUCGCAAGCCCUCGCGCGAUUGGAGCGGCCGAUAUCAGAUUAGGUAGUUGGUGGGGUAAAGGCUCACCAAGCCGACGAUCUGUAGCUGGUCUGAGAGGACGACCAGCCACACUGGGACUGAGACACGGCCCAGACUCCUACGGGAGGCAGCAGUGGGGAAUUUUGGACAAUGGGCGCAAGCCUGAUCCAGCCAUGCCGCGUGCGGGAAGAAGGCCUUCGGGUUGUAAACCGCUUUUGUCAGGGAAGAAAAGGUUCUGGCUAAUACCUGGGACUCAUGACGGUACCUGAAGAAUAAGCACCGGCUAACUACGUG